rnacentral:rRNA from 1 species
UACGUAGGGCGCAAGCGUUGUCCGGAAUUAUUGGGCGUAAAGAGCUCGUAGGCGGUUUGUCGCGUCUGCUGUGAAAACUCGAGGCUCAACCUCGGGCUUGCAGUGGGGUACGGGCAGACUAGAGUGCGGUAGGGGAGACUGGAAUUCCUGGUGUAGCGGUGGAAUGCGCAGAUAUCAGGAGGAACACCGGAUGGCGAAGGCAGGUCUCUGGGCCGCAACUGACGCUGGAGGAG